rnacentral:lncRNA from 1 species
CCAAGUCCCUUCCCAGGGUUCCUUCAUCAGAGGGAAAGUGCUUUGCAAACUCACCAUGACUGGGGCACUAGGACCUUCCUCUCACUCAUCCGCCCUGGCAGAUGAGGGACCCACAGAGACAAAGUUUCGGAGGGCCACAGCUUUGGGGAGACAUGCACCCAGGUCCCCUUGUGGUAAGAGACGUCUCUUCCCAAGCUUAUGACCUGGAACCCCGCCCACCCUGGAGAUGGGGACGGGAGGAGCUGGGGGAGGAGUCAGCGAGCAAAUCUUUCCCUCCUGCUCAGCUGCCUCCUGCCCCUGCCCCAGGAGCAGACCCCGCAGCUCUGGGGAGGGCUAAUUACAGUCCGUUUGAACCCAAUGGCUGCCACCUCCCUAUUAAAACGCCAGAGGCUAGUUCUGCUCCUACAGUGCAGGGGGGUCUGCCACGCGGGAGGGAGGUUAAGCUGCACCAGUCUAUGAGAGUCUUGGCCAGUCGUUCUGUCCCAACCAAUGCUGCAUAGACAACUCCACACAGCACAACCUGACAGCAUUUCUGCUCCUCCCGCCAUGGGCUUCCUGUGGCUGCUGGCGCUUGAAAUGCUGUGGGAUCCACUCAAUGCCCAGGCAUGUGCAAGACGGUUCUACAGGAUCAAGCAAUCGAUCGUGAUCAACAUUGACCAGUGACCAGCUCAAUAAGGUACCUUCAUAUUGGUUCUUCCACCUUUCUUUUUCUCUCACUCCAGCUUCCCUGGGACUGUACUCCCUAAACACUAGUGGCACUUCCUUUUCAUCUCAGUUCUGCUUACUGAAGCUUAGAAAGUGGCUCUAGAAAGCAGACCCUUGGUUUGGAAUUUGGUACUGGAUUACUCACGUCACACUUAAUGAAAGACCAAAUGUUUUCCUGUGAAGAUCAGGGACAAGGGUGCCUGCUCUCAUUCCUCCUAUUCAACACCAUGAGAGAAUUCCUAGCCAGUGCAACAAACAAGCAAACAAGGCAUACAGCUUGGAAGGAAAGAAAGAAAUCUCCUUCUAUUCACACACAACAUAAUUAUCUAUAUUUAAAAAACCCAUAAACUAAUGAGUUUAGCAAGAUCACAUAAUAUAAGUCAAUAUACACAAAAAAAUGUAUUCCUAUAUACUCACAAUGAACAAUUAGAAUUGAAAUCAAGAAACAGCACUGGGAAAAGUGAAAUACUCAGGUUUAAAUCUGUAUGCUGAAGACUAGAAAACACUAAUGAAAGAAAUUCUAAAACACCUAAAUAAAUGAAGAGCUAUACCAUGUUCA